AUCUUAUGUAACUUUUUCAUAACAUAGAAAUCAAUAGAUAAUAUAAAGAUAAAGUAUAUAUCCAAUUUUAUAAUGCUAUACUUAAGCACGGAUAUCUAUUUCUUUUAGCUUUACAGUCCUAACUAUGGUACCACGAUUAUCCACGUAGCAAGAGAUCUCAAGUCCAUGCUUUUUUUUAUGGUGGAGAUCUCAGGUCCACUCUUUUUUCCAUGGCAA
rnacentral:lncRNA from 1 species